GAUUCUUUAUUCCAUAUUUCUGCUUUUUUUAGUAUCUGUUCUUUAUUUUUUUUUUUCUUUAUUUUGCACUUUUUGUCAUUAUUUUCUAUAUUCUUAGACCCCAAUCUUGAUUCCAGACCAUCAUAUAUAUAUAUACGUAAAUGUACGAAAGCUUGCAUGGUACGUCGAAUACGGAAACCCGGAAAUCUUUUCAGCGUUACCGUUUUUUAUACUAUGACGCAAAAUCCAUGGACGCUCACGCGAUCCACAGUUGUGGUCAUUUAAAAAGUUUGAAUGGACAGAGAUAGAUGAUACAAAGAACUUUGGUUUUUCAAACUGGUGAAUCAAAAUUUAUUAUAAACAGAUAAAUUGAAAUGGGUGACUUGUCGAUUAACUGGAAGAAACCGGGGGACGAAACAUAGAAAAUUUAUAGAAAGUCAACGCAACGAAACAGCGAAAGCCGAAAGUGUUUUUGUUUUGAUGGAUAGUUUUACGUACCCUAAAAGCACAACGAAAGCAUUUUCAAUGAAAGUACAUUUUGUACUCCAAGAAGUAGAAGAAUCUAAGCAACAGAUCUAGAACAGAAUUCAUUUGAUGCAUUGCUUUCUAGAUUAUAUAAUGGAUUCAUAGAUUGUCAUAUUGAUUUAUGUGCAUAUAAGGAGCAGCAGGCAAUAAUUAUUUUGUGAUGAGAGCUUGUUACCAUGGUUACCAAAUGAAAGAAAAGUACAGUAUUAGAAUCACUGGUGUACAUGUAGGUGCAGAUGUCAGGCAAAAAGAACUGGUAUCAAAGAACUGAAAAGUAAAGAAACAGAACCAAAGGACAUUAAUUUUUAAUUAAUACAAUAUUGAGCUCAAAGUCAAUCUAGUUGUCUUUCUUAAUCAUACAGGAUAUUUACAAAAAGCAGCUGCAUACACAUGCACCAGUAAUAGCCAGCAGUGAAGACAAUUAAAUAUCUGUGUAUGGAGGUAUAGCAAUAGAAAUAUCACAUACAUCAUAGGAAAAUAGAAUAUAGACAAUAGAAAUGGAGUAUGUCAAAGAGACACACAUAUGAAAAUAGAAUAUAGACAAUAAAAUUGGGGUAUGUCAAAGAGACAAACAUAUGAAAAUAGAAUAUAGACAAUAGAAAUGGUGUAUGUCAUGUAUGUAAAAGAGACAAAAAUAUGAAAAU